rnacentral:rRNA from 1 species
UACGUAGGGUGCAAGCGUUGUCCGGAAUUAUUGGGCGUAAAGGGCUCGUAGGCGGUCUGUCACGUCGGGAGUGAAAACUCGGGGCUUAACCCCGAGCCUGCUUCCGAUACGGGCAGACUAGAGGUAUGCAGGGGAGAAUGGAAUUCCUGGUGUAGCGGUGAAAUGCGCAGAUAUCAGGAGGAACACCGAUGGCGAAGGCAGGUCACUGGGCCGCAACUGACGCUGAGGAGCGAAAGCAUGGGGAGCGAACAGG